rnacentral:lncRNA from 1 species
UAGUGAAGGUGUGUAUAGAUGUUUAUGAACCUUAGGGACCCUGGUUGAUUUAGAUUUUUGUGAAGAGAACCUUGGGAUACCAUCAUAAAACUCAUCCUCAUUGAUUUUCUGCUGUGUAUUCUUGUUGUCCUGCAAUGGUGGUGGACUCUUGGAGUAACGAUUCAGUAACUUGCCAUCAUUCUUAGAUGAACUUCCUCCCAUAAUGCAAAAAAACCCAGUUGUAAUUACAAACAAAAACACCCAAAAAGUUUUGGGUUUGAGGUAUUUUAUUUCAAUAGGUAGAAUUAGGGAAGUUGAAUAGUAAUUCAAAUACAGAAUAAAUUUUAUUUCAAUAGGGAGAAUUAGGGAAGUUGAAUAGUAAUUCAAAUACAGAAUAAAAAUCAAAACUUGAUAUUAGAGGAAAAGGGAAACUACAAACUCACAGAUUUUGGGGUUUGACAAAAUCGAGAUGAUGAGAAUACCAACUAUGACUACUAUUUCAACAACUAAAUUAAAUUAAAUAAAAAAAUUGACAGAAAAGUCGUCAAUUCUGUCAUAUUACCAUAUACACGCUUUCACUCUGAAUUCG